rnacentral:rRNA from 1 species
AUGUCCCUACGGGGCGCAGCAGUGAGGAAUAUUGGUCAAUGGGAGAGAUCCUGAACCAGCCACGCCGCGUGAGGGAAGACGGCCCUAUGGGUUGUAAACCUCUUUUGUCGGAGAACAAAACCCGGGACGUGUCCCGGACUGCGUGUAUCCGAAGAAAAAGCAUCGGCUAACUCCGUGCCAGCAGCCGCGGUAAUACGGAGGAUGCGAGCGUUAUCCGGAUUUAUUGGGUUUAAAGGGUGCGUAGGCGGUCCGGAAAGUCAUCGGUAAAAGCCCGGGGCUCAACCCCGGGG